CGACCGGCGCACGGGUGCGUAACGCGUAUGCAACCUACCUUUAACAGGGGGAUAACACUGAGAAAUUGGUACUAAUACCCCAUAAUAUCAUAGAAGGCAUCUUUUAUGGUUGAAAAUUCCGAUGGUUAGAGAUGGGCAUGCGUUGUAUUAGCUAGUUGGUGGGGUAACGGCUCACCAAGGCGACGAUACAUAGGGGGACUGAGAGGUUAGCCCCCCACACUGGUACUGAGACACGGACCAG
rnacentral:rRNA from 1 species